GGACAUUCCUUUAGGGCCAUUUAUGGGUUAAUUCCCAGCCCUAUAGACACUUGUAGGGCACAGGGGGGAUACCCCAGACCAUUCCUUUAGGAUCAUUUAUUUAUGGGUUUAUUCCCAGCCCUAGAGGUACUUGUAGGGCACGCGGGCGGGCACGGUCUGCAGCUCCAGGCGCACGGGGCACUUGUAGAAGGUGCCCAGCAGGGUCUCGGCGUAGCCCAGCAGGAAGUAGAGCUUGUGGGGUGGCAGUGCCCGGCCCAGCAGGGCACACACCACCAGCAGGUUC